UUUUCAUUUCAUUUAUGUUCUUUGGUAAUUCCUACAUCUAUGGUUAAUACUUAAUAUUUUUUCACAGAAGUGAUGUGAUUUUUUCUCUGUGAAGUGCUGUUGCACCACUUUUUUGUGUUGUUUUGGUAAAACAGGAAAAAACUUUGUUAGGGAAGUAGUAACUUUUCAGGGUUUUCUUUUCUUUAUAUGGGCCAACCAAACAGAAAUAAUUUUGGAGAUUUAAUCGGUUCUCACAUGUCAUUAAUCCUUAUACCAAACACACGAACUCAUAUCCAAGCAGGACUGUAACGAACUGUUUGGGAAAGACCAGAGCUGAAGAAGGGGCAUCUGUUUGAAGGAUGGACUGAAGGGGUCAUCAACUUUUGGGUGCUAUUAAAGUGUCCAUAUACCAAACAUAGUUUUGCUUUAUAUGUUGUCACCUGACCUAUGGAGAAAAGGAAGGAGAUGAACUAAAAAGGAAUGCUGAUGUUCAAGAAAUCCACCGAAGGACAAUAUUUAAUCCAGUUUCGAGAGUCAACAUGCCUAAAACGAUAUAUGAUCAUGAAAGGAAUGUAUGGCUAGGUGAUCUCAACUAUAGGAUCAACUUACCAUAUGAGAAGACACACGAACUCAUAUCCAAGCA